GAUGAACGCUGGCGGCGUGCCUAAUACAUGCAAGUCGAGCGAAGCGGGGAAGGGUGAGUAACACGUGGAUAACCUCCUAUAAGACUGGGAUAACUUCGGGAAACCGGAGCUAAACCGGAUACUUAAAGAUGGAUCCGCGCUGCAUUCGCUAGUUGGUAAGGUAACGGCUUACCAAGGCAACGAUGCAUAGCCGACCUGAGAGGGUGACCCGCCACUCUGUGACUUGGCACACGUCCACACUCCUACGGCACGCAGCAUUAUGGAAUCCUCCGCAGUGUGCGAAAGCCUAACGGAGCACCCCUGGUUUAGUGAUGAAGGUCUUCCGUUCGUGAAACUCUGUUAUUAGGUAAACGGUACCUAAUCAGAAAGCCACGGCUAACUACGGUCCGGCAUCCGCGGUAAUUC
rnacentral:rRNA from 1 species